rnacentral:rRNA from 1 species
GACGAACGCUGGCGGCGUGCCUAAUACAUGCAAGUCGAACGCAUUUUCUUUCACCGUAGCUUGCUACACCGAAAGAAAAUGAGUGGCGAACGGGUGAGUAACACGUGGGUAACCUGCCCAUCAGCGGGGGAUAACACUUGGAAACAGGUGCUAAUACCGCAUAAUUCCAUUUACUGCAUGGUAGAUGGAUGAAAGGCGCUUUUGCGUCACUGAUGGAUGGACCCGCGGUGCAUUAGCUAGUUGGUGGGGUAACGGCCUACCAAGGCUGCGAUGCAUAGCCGACCUGAGAGGGUGAUCGGCCACACUGGGACUGAGACACGGCCCAGACUCCUACGGGAGGCAGCAGUAGGGAAUCUUCGGCGAUGGACGCAAGUCUGACCGAGCAACGCCGCGUGAGUGAAGAAGGUUUUCGGAUCGUAAAACUCUGUUGUUAGAAAAGAACAAGGAUGAGAGUGGAAAGUUCAUCCCUUGACGGUAACUAACCAGAAAGCCACGGCUAACUACGUG